rnacentral:rRNA from 1 species
AUUGAACGCUGGCGGCAGGCCUAACACAUGCAAGUCGAGCGGAUGAAGGGAGCUUGCUCCUGGAUUCAGCGGCGGACGGGUGAGUAAUGCCUAGGAAUCUGCCUGGUAGUGGGGGAUAACGUCCGGAAACGGGCGCUAAUACCGCAUACGUCCUGAGGGAGAAAGUGGGGGAUCUUCGGACCUCACGCUAUCAGAUGAGCCUAGGUCGGAUUAGCUAGUUGGUGGGGUAAAGGCCUACCAAGGCGACGAUCCGUAACUGGUCUGAGAGGAUGAUCAGUCACACUGGAACUGAGACACGGCCCAGACUCCUACGGGAGGCAGCAGUGGGGAAUAUUGGACAAUGGGCGAAAGCCUGAUCCAGCCAUGCCGCGUGUGUGAAGAAGGUCUUCGGAUUGUAAAGCACUUUAAGUUGGGAGGAAGGGCAGUAGGUUAAUACCUUGCUGUUUUGACGUUACCAACAGAAUAAGCACCGGCUAACUUCGUG